UGAGAGAGACUGACUCAGCUAAAUACGUGUUCAGAUUAAUUACUUAUCAGCCUGGAAGGAAAUGGCUUGUCAUAUCGGGAGUCACCCUAUAUGUCACAGGUCUUCAGGUGGAUGUGACUGGUGGAGAUAUUAAGACACUGACCUGUAACACCACCUGUCCUCUGACUGGUAAUCCCACCUAUAUCUGGUACAAGAACGGACAACAGAUUGAUGAGAGCUCCCCCCACCAGUACAAAGACCCAGUCUACAGUAAAUGUGAAGACAGUUUCUCCUGUUCUGUUAAAGGUCAUGAGGAUCCCCACUCUCCUACAGUGUGUGUUCAGAGUGUGUACUGCAGCAGAGUGACUUACACCCAGAGGAGAAUCUGUGUCUUGAAGGGGUCAUCAGUGGACAUAUUCUGUACUUAUGUUGGUCGUUAUUAUGUCACAUCAUCACUGUGGUUUAGUCCUAAACAGAGUGGUAGAUGGAGGGAUAAGUUGAUCCCUGAG